UGGCUUAGUGGUAAAGAAUCUGCCUGCAAUGCAGGAGACACAGGUUCAAUCCUGA
rnacentral:tRNA from 1 species